GUUCUGACAGCCCUGAAAAUGUCUGCUGGUCACCAGACAUGCUAGCUGCAUAUAUUGCCCUUACAGUUGUUAUUGUGCAAGCCCAGGCUUUAGGACUACUUGUGUAUUGUAAACCAUUUCAUUUGUAUGCUUGGGACAAUUGUAAAACCAUGGCCGCAGUCUGUGCACAAGAGCAAGGAGGCGGUAUGCGUCCCAUAGCAUUCUUUUCCAAAGUAGUUCGUGCUCCGGUACAGGGUAUGCCGGCGUGUCUCAGAGCAUUGAUAGCAUGUGCAAUGGCUGUUGAAACUGCUACUACUAUCACACUAGGGCAUCAUACAAUACUUCAUGCCAGUCACCAGGUCACUCAGCUGAUAACAAAUCUCACCACACAACACAUGACAGCCCAGCACUUAAGUGGUUAUGAGAUUCUUUUUUUUAAUACCCAGAAUCUGUCUUUUGGAUUAAACAAGGUUUAGAGAAAGAUCAAAAUGAUCUGUUCUCUAAAGAGGGGAGAAUAGGCAUACUUGAAGAAUAGGCAUAUUUGAAGCAAGCUGCUUUAUUUUCAUCAGUCAGGCACAUAGCAAGCACCAUUCAAUUCCUCAUGAAUUCAUUUUAUAUUAGGAAUCUCAGGCAGCAUGUACAGUCUUUUGUAAGAUCGUGUGAACGCUGCUCUUUUUACACACUUACAGAUUGAGUUUAUUCAUGUAUCCAAAAUUGGUAGGAAACAGCAAUACUUACUGGUCAUAGUUGCUCAGUUUAGUAGAUGGCAUGAGGCCUUUGUGACAUCUAGGGAAGAUGCUAGUGAAGUUUAUUGUUACUGAAAUUAUUCCCAGGUAUGGCUGCCCUCUGCAGAUUGGCUCUGAUAAUGGCCCGG